GUUGAAACACCGGUUCCCGUACGAUCACCGAACUUAAGCAACGUCGAACUUGGUCAGUAGCUAGAUGGGUGACCGAUUGGAAAUACCA